AACUUCGGUAGGUGAGGCUACCGCAGGGAUAUGGAUUGCUACCGCGAAAUAAUGGAGACACUAUUAGUUGGUUAGCAGGUUGUGUCGAAUCAAGGCAUAACCUAACGCAAUUUCAAGGCACCUAAAUGGAUGCCAUGCCCUGCGAUGCUAAAGCUUGAACGGUUGA
rnacentral:sRNA from 1 species